AAUGGCCUAAGGGCUGAACCAGCAACUUGGAGGAAUGUAUAGCGAUAGCUAAUUGUAUAUUAUUAUACAAUAUCAACUACGUUGAAUAAAAUUCUGGGUGUGAUUAUGAUAAUGACAUUGCACAUUUAUAUGUCUUGACCAAAUUACGUGCCAGCAGUCGCGGUAACACGUCAAAGACUAGUGUUAUUCAUCUUUAAUUGGUUUAAAGGGUACUUAGACGGCAAAUCAAGCCUUAGGCGGGACUAAUUUGCUAGAGUUAAAUGUGAGGGGRCUUGAAAGUACUAUUGGUCUAGAGAUAAAAUUUUUUGAGACCUAAGAUGGCACAGGUAAAGGCGAAAGCAUCUCCCUAUGUAAUAACUGACGUUGAAAGACGAAGGCUUUGAAUAGCGAAUAGGAUUAGAUACCCUAGUAGUCGAAGGAGAGAAUGAUGAGUGUCAUAGACUAGACAAAUAUUAGUACAAACAAGCUAAAUAUUUGCAAAAACUAACGAGUUUAGUCUAUAAAUGAAAGUGUAAGCACUCCACCUUAAGAGUAAUGUGGCAACACCGAAAUUGAAAUCAUUAGGCCGUUUCUGAAACCAGUAGUGAAGUAUGUUGUUUAAUUUGAUGAUCCGCAAAAAACCUUACCACAACUUGAAUAUUUAUAUCACUUGUAUUGUAGUAUUAUAAUGAAAAAAAAACAAUACAAUAUAUAUUUACAAGCGUUGCACGGCUGUCUUCAGUUAAUGUCGUGAGAUUUGGUUAGAUCCAUUAAAUUAACGCAAACCCUUGCUUUAUUUUUAAAUAAUGCUGUUCGUCCACUACAAUGGAUAUGAUAAAAGGACUAAGACAAGUCAUCAUGGCCUAAAUGUUGU
rnacentral:rRNA from 1 species